AUACGUAGGUGACAAGCGUUAUCCGGAUUUACUGGGCGUAAAGGGCGUGUAGGCGGUCUUGCAAGUCAGAAGUGAAAUUCCUGAGCUCAACUCGGGCACUGCUUCUGAAACUGCAGGACUUGAGUGCUGGAGGGGAUAGCGGAAUUCCUAGUGGAGCGGUAAAAUGCGCAGAUAUUAGGAAGAACACCGGUGGCGAAGGCGGCUAGCUGGAACGACCCUGGCGGUGAGAGACGAAAGCUAGGGGAGCAAAACGGAUUAGAUACCCGGGUAUUACUAGCCGUAAACGAUGCGGACUUGGUGUUGGGAUGGCUUUGAGCCGCUUCGGUGCCGAAGGGAAGCUGUUAAGUCCGCCGCCUGGGAAGUACGGUCGCAAGACUGAAACUUAAAUGAAUGGGCGGGG
rnacentral:rRNA from 1 species